AGAACGAACGUUGGCGGCGUGGAUUAGGCAUGCAAGUCGAACGAAUCCCAUUUGGGUAACUGGAUGGGGGAAGUGGCGAAAGGGGCAGUAAGGCAUGGAUAACCUACCCUGGAGUUGGGCAUAGCCAUUCUAACGAAUGGGUAAUUCCCAAUAGCUCAGCGAGGAGACAUCUCUUUGCUGGUAAAGAGUUUCGCUCCGGGAGGGGUCCAUGUGCUAUUAGCUAGUUGGCGGGGUAACGGCCCACCAAGGCUAAGAUGGCUAGCGGGUGUGAGAGCACGACCCGCGCCACUGGCACUGAGACACUGGCCAGACACCUACGGGUGGCUGCAGUCGAGGAUCUUCGUCAAUGGGCGAAAGCCUGAACGAGCGACGCCGCGUGCGCGAUGAAGGCCUUCGGGUUGUAAAGCGCGAAAGUGGGGACGAAAGCCGAAAGGUUUGACUGAUCCACAGUAAGCUCGGGCUAAGUUCGUGCCAGCAGCCGC
rnacentral:rRNA from 1 species